GACGUAGGAGGCGAGCGUUAUCCGGAUUCACUGGGCGUAAAGCGCAUGUAGGCGGCUGUCCAAGUCAUGUGUUAAAGCCCCCGGCUCAACUGGGGGAGGUCAUGUGAGACUGGUCGGCUUGAGGGCAGCAGAGGCACGUGGAACUCCCGGUGUAGCGGUGGAAUGCGUAGAGAUCGGGAAGAACACCCGUGGCGAAGGCGGCGUGCUGGGCUGCGACUGACGCUGAGAUGCGAAAGUGUGGGGAGCAAACGGG
rnacentral:rRNA from 1 species